GCGAGCGAAGCGGGAAGAGCUCAAAUUUAUAAUCUGGCACCUUCGGUGUCCGAGUUGUAAUCUCUAGAAGUGUUUUCCGCGUUGGACCGCACACAAGUCUGUUGGAAUACAGCGGCAUAGUGGUGAAACCCCCGUAUAUGGUGCGGACGCCCAGCGCUUUGUGAUACACUUUCAAUGAGUCGAGUUGUUUGGGAAUGCAGCUCAAAUUGGGUGGUAAAUUCCAUCUAAAGCUAAAUAUUGGCGAGAGACCGAUAGCGAACAAGUACCGUGAGGGAAAGAUGAAAAGCACUUUGGAAAGAGAGUUAACAGUACGUGAAAUUGUUGGAAGGGAAACGCUUGAAGUCAGACUUGCUUGCCGGAGCUUGCUUCGGUUUGCAGGCCAGCAUCAGUUUUCCGGGGUGGAUAAUGACGGUUUGAAGGUAGCAGUCUCGGCUGUGUUAUAGCUUUCCGUUGGAUACAUCCUGGGGGACUGAGGAACGCAGCGUGCUUUUUGCGAAAGACUCGUCUUUUUCACGCUUAGGAUGCUGGUGGAAUGGCUUUAAACGACCCGUCUUG
rnacentral:rRNA from 1 species